GUGGGUGGAGGUUGCUUAACCUUCAAACUUCAAUAACAGAAUAGGCGACAAGGAGACGAAACUUGAGGGUGCUGGCCGGCCGGGGAAGCUUGAAUGCAAGGAGAACGAGAUGGCUGAGUCGUGAGUGAGGGUUAUGACGCUAGAGGGAAAGAAUCGCUUCGCUUGAAACAAGACGCGAUGGAGAAAUGGUGAAGAGACCCGAUGGUGGAUGAAGUAUGGGAGUGAGGGCUGUGAGGCUAGAGUCGAUGAUGGAAGAGAAUGGGAAAGGAAUGAGAAGAAGGGGAAAUGAUAGAACAGAGAGAUAGAGAGAGAGCGAGAUGGGCA
rnacentral:misc_RNA from 1 species